rnacentral:tRNA from 1 species
GGGAUAGGUUGCAUAGGGCUAUGCCUUUUGAUUGCAGAUCAUAAAGUUAAGGUUCGACUCCUUCCUAUCCCU